rnacentral:rRNA from 1 species
AAAAACAUUUUUAUUAGGAAUAAUUAAUAAUAAAAUCUGCUCAAUGAAAAUUAAAUAGCCGCAAUAUAGUGCUAAGGUAGCAUAAUCAUUUGUCUUUUAAUUAAAGACUAGAACAAAAGAUUUAACAUUUAAAUUUAUUUCUAAUAUUUAAAUAAUUUAAAUUAUUUUAAUUGUAACAAAACAAUUAUUUUCAAGAAAGACGAUAAGACCCUAUUGAACUUAACUUUAGUUAAACUGGGGAAGUAAAUUAAUUAUAAUUUUAAUAUUAAUAUAAUAUAAAUUUGAUCCAAUCAAAUUGAUUAAUUCAUUAAGUUACCAUAGGGAUAACAGCAUAAUAGAAUUUUUAAGAUCUCAUUUAAAAUUAAGUUUAUGACCUCGAUGUUGAUUUAAUUUUCUAAUCUUACGCAAUAGUUAAUUAAGAAAGUCUGUUCGACUUUUAAAAAAUUACAUGAUCUGAGUU